AUUGAACGCUGGCGGCAGGCCUAACACAUGCAAGUCGAACGAGUGGCGGACGGGUGAGUAAUGUCUGGGAAACUGCCCGCUGGAGGGGGCUAACUCCUGGAAACGGUAGCUUAUCCCGUAUCACAUCGGAUGUGCCCAGAUGGGAUUCGCUAGUAGGUGGGGUAACGGCUCACCUAGGCGACGAUCCCUAGCUGGUCUGAGAGGAUGACCAGCCACACUGGAACUGAGACACGGUCCAGACUCCUACGGGAGGCAGCAGUGGGGAAUAUUGCACAAUGGGCGCAAGCCUGAUGCAGCCAUGCCGCGUGUAUGAAGAAGGCCUUCGGGUUGUAAAGUACUUUCAGCGAGGAGGCGUUACUCGCAGAAGAAGCACCGGCUAACUCCGUGCCAGCAGCCGCGGUAAUAC
rnacentral:rRNA from 1 species